UGCUUUGUUUCACACUUUCACAGUUCCGAAAAGGAGAAGACGUUCCAGAUUUCAAAGAAAACGAUCAGUCGAUAACGAUAACUCUAUUACUAUUUUAGUAUUUUGGAAACGCACGGAAAAUAGCAGCAACAAUUUAAAUCACGAAAAUGUGGGUCGUCGUGUAAACUCUUGUGUCCCGGACCUCUGCUACUACUCUGCAUGCUCUCAUCGCUUUGCUGCUUCUCAGUUUUCCUGCACUGAAAUCUCCUUUGUGCAGAUUUGAGCCCUGAGCCAGCCAUCACAACAACACGAUAUGCAAUUUUUGCUUGUGCUGAUAAUCAUCAUCCCAAUUGAUUGGAAACAUUCCUUGUAAUCCUCUCUGUCCUCGUGUACACCCAUGUGAGUGUGGGUGUAUUCACGAGGGCCCCCCUUUUCCCGUCAUUCAACUUUUCUGCGUGGAUGGAGCACUUGUGCUGGAUGCCUGGCCGUA